rnacentral:rRNA from 1 species
CCCACAGCCCGUGGAGCAGGAUUCCCUUCCGCCGGAGGGGGGUCCGCGACCCAGCAGACAGAUGGGGACGCCUGGCGGGGUUUGUUGGGUUAACCCGCCAGGGGACAUCCCCCCCGACCGGAGAGAGACAGGGACUCCCGCUCUGAAUGGCCACCCCCCGUCCUCUCCUCACCGAUCCGGCCCCUGAGCCGCCACACCGGGUGGGGGCGCGCUCCUCCACCCAGACCCGCCAGCGGGCCGGGCGUCGGAGUGGGUGCACCCCGGUCGGCAGGGAAGCCCCCGAGUGGGAGCAGCCGGGAGCCGAGGGAAGCCCAGCCGUUCUCGAGGAAUGCCUCCCCAAGGUGGACAGGGGCCCGGCAUGCCGGGCGAGCCCUGAGCCAUGCCGCAGCCGGAGCACUCGACGGGCGGGCGUCGAGGUUCCGGCCACCCACGUGGGCGAGCGAUGGCCAGGCCUGCCGGCGCAGCAGGCGACCUUCCUUCUCGACCAGGUACCUGGAGCUCGGCCCUGUGCGGCCGGGAUGCAGUUUGAAGACUCUGGUGGUCCCAGCCGACGCCCAUGCCGACCCUGGCCCGCCUCUCCGUCCGCCUCCCCGCAAGGGGAACAGCGGAGGGGGUCAGGCCGGGCAUAGGCCAAGCGCGAAUCGGGCCGGGUGGGCCGGCGGAGGAGCGGCCUGCCUCUGUCACCGUGGGAAGCCCUGCCGUCGUGCAGGCUUCCCGGGCUGAGCGCCUGGAUGUUUUUUUUGUUUUCUCUUAAAACCCCCCCGAUGGUCUCGGCCGACUCCCAAGUGGGGGCAGCUAGACGGGGCGCCGGGCUGUGUCUCGUCCAUGGUGGGAGGGACGGCGGCACUGCCUCUCCCCGGCCUCUCCUGCACCGGCAGGUUCGGGCCGACGUCUGGAACAAAACAAAAAAGUUGCCUGUGACUCUUGGCGGUGGAUCACUCGGCUCGCGCAUCGAUGAAGAACCCAGCUAGCUGCAAAAAUGAGUGUGCAUUGCAGGACACAUUGAUCAUCGACACUUCGAAUGCACCUUGCGGCCCUGGGUUCCUCCCUGGGCUACGCCUGUCUGACGGUCGCUUGAACGUCAAUCGCCCCGGGGUUCCCUCCCCGGGGCGUGGCUGGGGCUGUCGCAGGGACCCCAUUCCCUUCGUCCCUCUAAGGUCAGACCCCGAUCAGCACAGGUGCGGGAUCCCUCUGGACCUGGAGGUGGCAGCCUUGAAAAAGCUGGGCAUGCCUCAGCCCCUGCCCUGGGGCACAGGGCCGUGCUGUGUGUUGCUGUCUGUGGUGUCCCAUGGCUGCCAGCGCGGGACGGCCCUGGAGCGCGGGCCUGUACCAGGUGGGCCUCAGCAUUAGCGGAUCGGGAAAGCGCACGAUCGGCCACUGCCGGAAGGUGGGGGGCUGCCAGGGGCUAACCCCCCCUGUACGGCCCCAGGCUCGAGGCACGGCCGCCCCACGGAGCUCACGCGGCUCCCUCGACUACGACCUCAGAUCAGACGUGGCGACCCGCUGAAUAUAAGCAUAUUACUAAGCGGAGGAAAAGAAACUAAAGGACGCGAGCCGGGCCCUUCCUGUGGAUCGCCCCAGCUGCGGUGGUCGCCUCUCUCCAUUCCCCUCCCGGGCUUCAGGGCUGGCCUUCUGCCUCGGCCGACGCCUAGCAGCUGACUUAGAACUGGUGCGGACCAGGGGAAUCCGACUGUUUAAUUAAAACAAAGCAUCACGAAGGCCCGCGGUCGGUGUUGACGCGAUGUGAUUUCUGCCCAGUGCUCUGAAUGUCAAAGUGAAGAAAUUCAAUGAAGCGCGGGUAAAUGGCGGGAGUAACUAUGACCUCCUUAAGGUAGCCAAAUGCCUCGUCAUCUAAUUAGUGAUGCGCAUGAAUGGAUGAACGAGAUUCCCACUGUUCCUACCUACUAUCUAGCGAAACCUCCGCCAAAGGAACGGGCUUGGCAGAAUCAAUGGGGAAAGAAGACCAUGUUCAGCUUGACUCUAGUCUGGCACUGUGAAGAGAUAUGAGAGGUGUAGGAUAAGUGGGAGGCACUCGGGCCGCCGGUGAAAUACCACUAUUCAUAUUGUUUUUUCACUUACCCCAUGAGGCGGAGGGCGAGCCCCGUGGGGCUCUCGCUUUUGGCUCCAAUAGCCCGGCGCACGCCGGGCGCGACUUGCUCCGGGGACAGUGGCAGGUGGGGAGUUUGACUGGGGCGGUUCACCUGUCAAACGAUAACGCAGGUGUCCUAAGGCGAGCUCAGGGAGGACAGAAACCUCCCGCGGAGCAGAAGGACAAAAGCUUGCUUGAUCUCGAUUUUUAAUAUGAACACAGACUGUGAAAUUGGGGCCUCACGAUCCUUCUGACUUUUUGGGUUUCAAGCAGGAGGUGUCAGAAAAGUUACCACAGGGAUAACUGGCUUGUGGCGGCCAAGCGUUCAUAGCGACGUUGCUUUUUGAUACUUCGAUGUCAGCUCUUCCUAUCAUUGUGUAGCAGAAUUCACCAAGUGUGGAUUGUUCACCCACUAAUAGGGAACGUGAGCUGGGUUUAGACCGUCGUGAGACAGCUUAUUUUUACCCUACUGAUGAUGUGUUGUUGCAAUGGUAAUCCUGCUCAGUACGAGAGGAACCGCAGGUUCAGACAUUUGGUGUAUGUGCUUGGCUGAGGAGCCAAUGGGGCGAAGCUAGCAUCUGUGGGAUUAUGACUAAACACCUCUAAGUCAGAAUCCCCCUAAACCGAAACGAUAACGCAGCGCUGUGGAGCCUCGGUUGGCCUAGGAUAGCCGGACUCUGGGCCGGUGCAUAGAGCCGCUCGCCUCGGGACUCGAGUGUGGAAAGAAGGGGCCACCUCUCUUGCCCGUAGUGCACCGCAUGUUCGUGGGGAACCUGGUGCUAAAUCAUUCGUAGAUGACCUGAUUCUGGGUCAGGGUUUCGUAAGUAGCAGAGCAGCUACCUCGCUGCGAUCUAUUGAAGGUCGUCCUCUGA